GACGAACGCUGGCGGCGUGCUUAACACAUGCAAGUCGAGCGGUAAGGCCCUUUCGGGGGUACACGAGCGGCGAACGGGUGAGUAACACGUGGGUGACCUGCCCUCAGCUCUGGGAUAAGCCUGGGAAACCGGGUCUAAUACCGGAUAUGACUCCAUGACGCAUGUUGUGGGGUGGAAAGCCUUGUGCGGCUGAGGAUGGGCCCGCGGCCUAUCAGCUUGUUGGUGGGGUGAUGGCCUACCAAGGCGACGACGGGUAGCCGGCCUGAGAGGGCGACCGGCCACACUGGGACUGAGACACGGCCCAGACUCCUACGGGAGGCAGCAGUGGGGAAUCUUGCGCAAUGGGCGAAAGCCUGACGCAGCGACGCCGCGUGAGGGAUGACGGCCUCGGUGUACC
rnacentral:rRNA from 1 species